AAGGAUCAUUAACGUAUCUCGGGCGUGCUUCCCGUGCCCUGCUCCCUCACGGUGAGCGGGUGCGUGGACGCCGUCUAACCUUCAUAAACCACUGUGAACCUUUGCGGCGGAGGCGUGCGGGCGAGAGCCUGCUAGCCGAAACCGUACCCACAAACACUAGUAACAAGAAUGUACAAGCGACUUUGUUCGCCCAUUAAACAUAACAACUUUCAACAACGGAUCUCUUGGCUCUC
rnacentral:misc_RNA from 1 species